AGCCUCGUGGUGUUAUCAUGCUGGAUUGCAAACCCAGAGAAGCAAAUUAGCGUUUGCCGGGGCUU
rnacentral:tRNA from 1 species